UCACACCUGUUCCCGUACGAUCAUCGAAGUUAAGCAACGUCGAGCUUGGUCAGUACCUAGAUGCGUGAUUGCUUGGAAAGUGCA